UCGAUGGGUUCCAAACGAAUUGGCCGGGAGCAUGUUCCAGAGAUUCCUGAAGUAAUCAUCUCAACCGUCGACUGGAUUGGGGAACACCUUUAUUGCGGCGGUGUGCAAUAUUUACCGAUAAGGUAUCCGACGAGGAAGAUUAUGGCAACCACGCAUCGCGGAAUCCUGGCGGAUAUCAACUAAUUGAAGUAGAAUUUUUUUGGCGCAUUAAACCGGUACAACCUCGUCUACGACUGUACGGAAGUAAUCCAGCACGAACCAGGCCCCGAAAGGAUACGGUGGAAGAAUGUCUCCUCACCUUGCACUUCGAAUUUCGACGGGAAGAUUCAAUCUUCCACACAUCUCGAAAAAGAACAUUUCGGAGUGUUGUGAUUCCGUUGGCACCGAAGCUAUCCCAGACUGUAGCAAUACAUCUACAUCCUGGAUCCGGACAUGGGAAGAUUUUUUAUCGAGGAUGGUCUCCAGGCACGUCCGAUUAAUGAAGUAGAAAUAGUUCUGGGAAGCCAACCUGAUCCAACGACAUCUGAAGUACAUAAAGUGCAGCAUCACCGCCCAGCAUCCGUGUGCAGGAAGAAAGAGCCGCUUCCCAGAAACCACCUGCACGAGCUGCUCCCCACCAUUACUAUAAUCUGGUUUUUCUAUCGACGGAAUCGCGUUUAGAAUGAAACCAUGUUUCGACCUCACCGAGAACAGCAGCAACAAACAAUGGAAUUAUAAGCCGCAGCCCAGCAUUUUUCCUUGAAGAUGUUCGCCCUUUAGGGCGUUGGAAACUAAUCUACAAUUAUAAUUUUUCUCUGCUUGAAAACAUUUUAGUUUGUUUCGAACUUCCGUUUUGAGUUGGGACCGGAACAAAUCUUAAUUUCUUCUUCUGUCACUUUCCUCGUUGACUCGUCGAGAAGGAGGGGGGAUGAUAAAUAAUAAAUGCAUUCGAUGAAAAAUUACCCAAACAAUUUAGCACGGAUUUGUUAAGAAAUUUUCUCGAUGACACUAAUUUCACUUGAAAUUUUUAAAUUUCUUAAAUAAUUUAUUUGUUUCCCCCCCCCCUCAAAAUGUUGAAUUCGGACAAAAAUUUGCCGAGGGGGGCUGGGGAAAUCGAAAUUUGUGUCAGCCUUAUGGCUAAUGAAUUCAAGAAAUGUCGAUUUUACCGUUACGUAAUACAUGGAUGCGGCCUUAUGAAAUUUUUGAUUGAAAGAAACAUGAAAAUCUAGGUAAGAAACUGCACAUUUGAAGUACUUUAUUUCUUUUGAUCGCGAUAAAGCCGAAAAAAUGGUCCUUAUGGUUUCUCUAGAGUACUAUCGGUAUUUAACGAAGUCUAGACCAAACGGAAUUGAAUAAUUACUCAAUCUAAAUGCUUUGCGUGACAUCGCUAUAAGGGAGCAUCCAUUAACCCUUUAUAAGGCAGUGGCAACUAUAUUGCCACCUACUGUUUGUAUUUUUUUUUUCUGUUUUAUAACAAUUUAUUCCAAAUAAUUUUUUUUUUUGGUUUACGCAAAAUUGGGAUUACUAACAACGCCUGGUAUUUUUUUGGUACUAAGCAAAGCUUUAAAAACAAUUUGGUAGCCAUUUGUAGUCUUAAAAAUGGCAAAAAUUGACCGCGUGAAGAAAAUUAGCUCAAACUUAUUGUAAAAUUAUAGAUUUGGUAAAUAUUUUAAGAAAUAAUCAAAUUACGGGUUGACAUGAGCUGAACUACACAGUUUAUAUUAUGGGUUAAGCCCUAAUCCACUCUAAAAUAUCUUUUCCGGUUUUUUGUCGAAGUCAACAGAAGAAAAGUACCCUAAACGGGCAGUGGCAACUAUAUUGCCACCUCAAAAGCUCGAGCUACAACAGAAUCUCUUUGAAAGAAGUAUCACUAAUAGAUUUCUGGAGUAGGCUACGCCAGUGGGUUAAUAUCAAUAGUUUUAAUAAAGUUUGCGCCACCUCGCUAUUUGGGAAGACAUGGUGAUCCUAUUCAGCAACAGCAGUGAUAAAAAAAGAAUGGAGUAGUUAACGAAAUCCUAUUGAGUAGUGACUAAUAUCAAUAGUUUGAAUCAAGUUUGCGUCUCCUCGCUUCUUGGGAGGACAUGGUGAACCUAUUCAGUAAUAGCAAAAUCUAUUUAAAUGAAGAAUAAGUCAUGAAUCUUUGGAGUUGUUAAGGCAGUCUUACACCCUCAUUCUUGUUAACGGGCGUAUCCACUUUCGAACGUAUUUGAUUCGUUCGAAUCCAUUGCCCAUUUGAUUUUGCUGGCGUAAUGAGUAUACUACCCCUAUUCGCAUAACAGUCCCAUGUUUGCUGGGUUUCCUAUUCACAUGGGACUGUUGUGCCAAUGGGGGCAGUAUAGUGGCUAAUAUCAAUAGUUUGCGUCACCUCGCAUCGGGGGAGGACAUGGUGAACCUGUUCAGCACCCGCAGAAUCUCUUAAAAAAGGCUUACCCAUGGAUCUCUAAAAUAGUUAUAGAAGUUUUGAUGAGAAUAAUUUCUAUCAAUAGUUUGCGUCACCUCGCUAUUUGGAAAGACAUGGUGAACCUAUUCAGCAACAGCAGAGAUACCGUCAGUGUACCAGUAGCCGCUCACUGUUGCAAAAAUCAAGUUUUCACGCAUAAAUACCCCCUUUUCGUCGCUGAUAUUCUUGGACAAUAAAAAAUAUAUGAGAGCCCGUUUUAUGCAAUAUUCACCGAAUAAUAUAAAUUUUAAAAACAAAACAGUAGAAUUUUUUGAGCGGCUAUUGGACUCAAAAAAGCUGUAGGAAAUUUUAUGUGUUCCAAUAACCGCUCACGCAAAAAAAUACGUGGAAAUCGUAAAAACUGUCGAUUGUACACAGUGUAUUUAAUCACUAUUAUACACUCCCGCUGAACAGGAAAAAUAAUUGUAAAAACAUAGAGUUGCAAAAAUAAUUCACUUUUCCGCAAAAGUCUAUUUAAAAGAUGGCAGACAUUUGUCCGUGAGCGGAAUUAGGACCACUUUGGUCUCACACAAAUUGUAAUAAAAUCAUACUUUUAUGAAAAGUUCUACAUAAGUCUUGUUUUGUAUCUGAUUGUACUUAGAUUAAACUAACUUAAAAUGCAAAAACAUUACAAAUUGGCUUACCAGUCAUUUAACAGAUGAUGUUUUUCUGCAAAACUGGUCUUAGAUUAGCGGAAUCUGGUACCUUGAUGGUAGUUCGAAUCUUGGUUCGAAUAUACUUUCGCUUCUUGAGAGGACAUAUGGUGAACUUUUUAGCACAGUAAAUCAUACUAUAUACUAUAUACAAUAUAUUAAAAACUGAUUAGGUGAAGGAUAAGUCUAUGGAGAAUGGGAUAAUUCCAGAUAUUCUACGAAUAAAUGAGCAAGAAAAAGAUAUUUUUGUGCGUCAACUCGCAACUCAAGAUAACUGGUUGAGUCCUUUUAGUUCAAUAAAAUUUUGAUGGCGAGAAAGAAUCGUUUAAGGACUUAUUGAAAAACAAAAUUCUGGUAUUCUAGGAAGUUAAUAAAAUAACAGGAAUAACCCUCUAGAAUAAUUUGAAUAAAUUAGUGACUUCAAUGUGAACUUGCCGCAUACUUUAUGUUAAUCACCCAAUCUUCUGCUAUUCUGCUAUUCUGCUAUUAUCAACGCAUCCCCUGGCUUUCGCCCAUCUGCGUUGUCUUUUCACUAGGCAAUACGUCUACCAAUUGAUGUUUAUGGGCUUGCCGGACCAAGUCAUGUAGCUAAGCCAAACACCCCACCUACAACUGUUGGGUAGGCACCAUUGUCCCGCCCACUGGUCUUUUACAGCUAGUUGUAGGUGCAUGUGUGCGUGUAAGUAUUGGAGUGUGUGUGUCAGUGUUGGUGUAUUGUAGGCGCCAACUCCUUCUAAUCCACUCUGAUAGCUAACACCCUAUUGAACCAUUACCCUUAAAUUUGGCAAUCUAUGAAAUAGAAUGAGUUAAACGCCUGUAGAAAACAGUCAGUUAAAUCAAACAAGGAAUAUUAGUAUUAAAGCGAAGAUACAACGAAGCAACGCCCCGAACCUCGAGAGCACAAACCCCAAGAACCAAAUGACAGGCAGCGCCGAUAAGUCGAUCGACUGGCCACCAUCAGUGAAUAACCAAUCGAGUAAACCCCCCAGCACAAACUGCCACCAGCUCUCCCGACCUGCGCCCAACAAAUCCGAGGCACAGCCCAGCCUUAGCUUCACCUUAAAACCAAAAUCUAGAUUACAGAGCACAAUACUUCCCAAGUAACCACACAGCUCGAGCCGCAAAUCACGCACAACACGGCACAAAUAAGACAAACACUACCACGCCCGUACAACCGAACCCGACCUAGAGUAGAGAAGGGUCUCUUUCCACUCCAACCCGGACUCAACUGCACCCACAGGGCAGCGCACCUCACCCACACCGCACUCAUUCAUGCAUCACUGUCCGAGCCGCACGGUCACCUGGGUUGAGUCUACCUGCAUGACCUCGCCCAACCCGUAACGCAGAGUUUAAGUCCCUCUCUUGCAUUACAAAGUACUCCCUCUUCCCAAAAAUCUGUGCGUGGUAUAAAUGAGAUCUUAAGGCUGAAGAAAUCGUCACCAAUACAACCGCCAACACUGAGCACUCAAUGAUGUCGGCCUUAUCAACGACGACCCCCUCAGUCCCAAACCCAAUUAUCCCACACUACCCAAGUAACCACCCUGCUGAAGCCGUAAGCACCACACGCACAAAGCACACACACACCGACACGCACCACCCCACACAAACCACCAAGGCCGAACAAAAGCGGAAAGCGGUGCCACCACUGCUGAAUCACGAGUUUUUCAGUAUAAUUCAGCAAUCGUAGAUCCAUUCUUCGACCCUACUCAGCCCUAACGGUCCAUAGCAAUGCCUGUCAAUAUAUGCGCCUCACACAUGCAACCCCUACACCCUAACAGUAUGGUCACUUGGGUAUCCCUGGGUUUUGACAUGAUGGUCAGGGAUCACAGCCAUCAAAACGUUCCACACUUUAUCAGGGCUUACGACCUGUAGACAAGAUGAUUUCUCAAUAGUUUCAAGCUCUUUCGGACCUUCCGCUAUUGGAGACCAUCAUGGCUAGCGGUGUUAUCUGUUAUGUUAAUCACCCAAUCUUAUUACAAUUUAUAUGCUCUUAUUUUCCAGCCUGAAGUGUAUUGUUCGGAUAAAUCACAGAACCCACGGAAACACCGAAACACCCCACCCACAAUAUUUGUUCAUUACCUAUAAGCUUUUAACACGUAAACACGAAAUUUAACAAUGCUAACAACACACUGGCGAAUUUUGAUCCUGUUCAUGAUAAUCAAGCUGGACCGGUACCGGCUAUAGCACUUUUGUUGUGGAGCUCCAAUGAAAGAUUGGUUCACAUUCUCAGGUUCACAUAUGUAUAAGUUUGUGGGACAACUGCAGUGAUAAAAUUAUAAUAUCGGAUAUUAGUAGGAUGGCCAUGAUCGACGGGACUGUCUGAAAGAUGAUGAAAAAUCGGAUGUUCAGCUUUGCGUUUAUCUGUUUACAGCGAAUGCACAUGGUAAAUCCGCUUUGGUUGUUAAGUGUACUGCUGCUCAUGAUGCUGCUGCUGAUAAACGUUUGGACUCGUAGCUCCGAUGAUGCGGUUCUGUAUCUGAGCUAGCUACCCCAAUUCCGGCAUCUGGCAGGUAGUUUGUACUGCAAAUUGCCUGGUACUAUAAAGCUUCUGGCUGUGCUCCAUACAUACCUAUACACUGAGAGAUCAAAGUACUCUUUAAAGAGUGAAAAAGUACCCUUUUCGAGAGUAACUAGGUGAACUCAUAAAAAGAGUAAACGGCCUUUACUCUUUAAAGAGUAAACUGCUUGUACGUCAAAUCAACGUGUGAUUUUUACUCUUUUUCUGGAACGAUUUCAAAUUAUGAAGAGAGUAAAAUUUACCCUCUUUAUCAUUUUAUGGGAACUUAGUGAUAAUUUUGAACUUUUAAACAAUCAAAUAAAUAAUAAACAACUUUAAAAAGAUUUUUUUGCGAAAUAUUUAUUAAUUUUUGUUAUUUCACUUUUUAUUGUUUGUUUAUUGCUGUGGGAUUUGCCAGUUGGACCACGAACAACUUUUAUCCCCGCACCUGGUUGAAGGAAUCCUGGACCAAACUUUGACCCAGGUGGAGGUCAAAAGGCCCCCUCGGAGCCACCGACAUCCUAAUGAAAGAAAUAAUUUACUAAUUAGUUGGUAACUUAACAACGCAAUUGAGUAUUUUGUUUUACUUACCCGCAAAAAUCUACAAAAUCACAUCAGUCAGUCAGACUGGAUGUUCCUCAGGAUGCACCUCGAAAAUGCUCAACAACAUUUUCACUCAUUAGAGUACCCGGUCGGAAUUAUAAGAAGGGCCAAAUUUACCCAUUUUCAAAAUUUGACAGGUACCCUUUAUUUUGACAGCUUCAUAUACUUGCAAAAAGAGGGUACUUUUUAUUCCUUAAAGGGUAAUGCCGGAUUCGCAGUGUAUGGUAACAUUUCUGGAAGGUAUGUUUCGAAACGUAAAAACCAAAAUCAAGGUCAUUCUUAUUUACGGGCGUAUUCGCUUUCGAACAAAUUUAAUUUUAUUUAAAUCGUGUGAACGAAAGGGAAUACGUAUGCAAACAACAAUCAGCUGAACCUGGUUUCCUAUAAACUUACCAGCUCCCAACGGCAUUCAAUAAUUAUUUCCGAAGGUUUACGCUCCAAUCGGUGCCGCUGUUGGACAGUUUCAAUUCCCGCAGAUAGCGAAGGCUUGUUCAUCGAGCAGCUGACGAAUGGCGUCGUGCUACUACGGGGCCAAUUCCAGUUUCUCCAGAAAUUCUGCAUUAACAUGUCUAAAGGGUCUAACUCGUUUUGUAAACAAACAUUGUUUCUGUCGCUGUAGGGUCUAUCUCGAUCCACCCACGCAUCUGGGGGCCGUUAUCAGAAAGAUCAAACUUCGCUCUUUCUGAUAACGACCCCCAGAUGCGUGGGUGGAUCGAGAUGAGCCCUACAGCGACAGAAACAAUGUUUGUUUACAAAACGAGUUAGACCCUUUAGACAUGUUGAUGCAGAAUUG